ACGAACGCUGGCGGCGUGCUUCACACAUGCAAGUCGAGCGGAAAGGCCCUGCUUUUGUGGGGUGCUCGAGUGGCGAACGGGUGAGUAACACGUGAGUAACCUGCCCUUGACUUUGGGAUAACUUCAGGAAACUGGGGCUAAUACCGGAUAGGAGCUCCUGCUGCAUGGUGGGGGUUGGAAAGUUUCGGCGGUUGGGGAUGGACUCGCGGCUUAUCAGCUUGUUGGUGGGGUAGUGGCUUACCAAGGCUUUGACGGGUAGCCGGCCUGAGAGGGUGACCGGCCACAUUGGGACUGAGAUACGGCCCAGACUCCUACGGGAGGCAGCAGUGGGGAAUAUUGCACAAUGGGCGGAAGCCUGAUGCAGCAACGCCGCGUGCGGGAUGACGGCCUUCGGGUUGUAAACCGCUUUCGCCUGUGACGAAGCGUGAGUGACGGUAAUGGGUAAAGAAGCACCGGCUAACUACGUG
rnacentral:rRNA from 1 species